UAGAGUUAUUCAGGGUUUCCCUAAUACUCCACCCUAUGUUUACCUGCCAUUGUUGCUUCAGCAGGCCGUCUUUGGGCGACUGGAUCUUUGCUAGUCCGCGCCUGCUAGAAGACCUAAAACUCUUGUUUGAUGCUGUCUGAGUACUAUAUAAUAGUUA
rnacentral:misc_RNA from 1 species